rnacentral:rRNA from 1 species
AUCGGUGACAGGUGGUGCAUGGUUGUCGUCAGCUCGUGUCGUGAGAUGUUGGUUAAGUCCCGCAACGAGCGCAACCCCUAUUGUUAGUUGCCAUCAUUCAGUUGGGCACUCUAGCGAGACUGCCGGUAAUAAACCGGAGGAAGGUGGGGAUGACGUCAAAUCAUCAUGCCCCUUAUGACCUGGGCUACACACGUGCUACAAUGGUUGGUACAACGAGUUGCGAGUCGGUGACGGCGAGCUAAUCUCUUAAAGCCAAUCUCAGUUCGGAUUGUAGGCUGCAACUCGCCUACAUGAAGUCGGAAUCGCUAGUAAUCGCGGAUCAGCACGCCGCGGUCGAAUACGUUCCGGGCCUU